rnacentral:tRNA from 1 species
GAUGCUGUGACUCAGUGGUAGAGCAUCUGCUGGGAGAGCAGAAGCCAGGUUCAAUCCCUGGCAUCUUCA